GUGCUUGUGCCUGACAGGCAUGCCCAGGUGUGAAGUGGGACAACUGACCUGGUAAAUGAUAUGUCGGAUGUGCAUCAAAUUGUGAGUUUUUGUAAAAGCGUUGUGAGCUUACGUUCACGCAGGCGUGUAUACGACUUGCGCAUGUGUGCAGCAUCUGUACAACCUUGGGAAGCCUUCAAGCUAGGUCCUAGCGUUACUAUAACCAUCACACUGUCAUUUGUUUUAGAUAUGUUCAGUCUACUGAAUGACUUUGAGAAUAGGAAUAUAAAUCAUUAGGACUAUGUCUCUAUGUUCGCAGUUAGAGUUACAGUAUUUCUGCUCGAGAAACACUUAAAAUAGAUAAUACGUCUUAGUUGAUAGCCACACUUUGUGACAAAGGCUUUCAUUGUCUCAACUACAGUAGCUCGCUUCGGGGACAAUCUACUGCACUAAUGCUUCUAUAAAUAGUAAGACAAUAAUCACGUUGUGUACAUGCAGUUUAAAUUGACUAUGAUAGCAUAUCGUUGUCACUUCCAACGCCAUUAUCAGAUUAUUAAACUAGCCCUAUUGUUGAUAGGCUAACUAAAACAUAGCCUUACGGGCCUUGCCAUGAUAUCCGAUAUCCGAUCAAAGCAAUAUCUAUGCACCUGCUGAUCAUCUCUUUGAUGAUCAGCAGGCCUCCUGCAGACAGACAGAAGCUCCGCCGUUCAGGUUAUUAUGGGGCUAGCAGACCGGUGCUAGGGGCGUGGCUUCUCUACAUCACCACGCAGCGUCACGGAGAUGCGGAUCGGUUUUUCCUGAAUCGUGCCUUUCCAAGAACAUAUAUAGCAAUAUAAUGACAGUUUGGCUUCGUGUCUAUGUCGUUCGAUCUCACACAUGGCUCAUGGAUACAUGAAUGAACAACUUAGCAUUCGUUUUUGUGUGCGCUAUGUAAUGUGAUGCGCUAUAGCCCAGGCUACACACUCACAAUAGCGACAGAUCCGAAGCGUGUUCCGGUGGAGACUGUCAGAAUCCAGAUGUCCGGUGUCAGUAUGGAGACCGAGGAAAUCGACCUGAUAGCGACAACAGACGCCCCGACAGUGAAUAACGUUGAGACCAUCGCUUGCCCUCCUCUUCCUAUCUGCCGCUGCGCCGGAGCAGAGGCACUGGACCAAGCGGGUGUGACGUCACGGACUCCAUCGAAACGCGAAAGACGCGCGCGGUGGCGACUGAAUAACACAAUGAGGGUCUCGGAAAAUUCAUCAUCAUCAAGUCAUAAUGUGAACCAGAGAGCUUAUUAAACAAUUUGAAAUCAAGCAAUAUCCGACCGAAUGUAUUGACUGUAAGAUGGACGGAUGAACUGUAAUUAACUACUAUGUGAGUGCAUCAUGCAUUACAUAUCAGUAAAUAUUAACCUUUUGCAUGUUAACGACGGCUACAUGUUAUCAUAACACAGUGCCAUGAUUAAAUAAUAAUCAAUUAGCAAACUGUCUCCAGAUCUGUGCGCCCCAACCACCAGACGGGGGCAGGAGAGAGCUGUGUUAUUACAAUAAACCCAUUAGCCUACUG
rnacentral:lncRNA from 1 species